CGGGCGGCUGCACCAGUCAAGAAUCUUCCUCAAUGGACGAAAGUCUGAAGGAGCAAUGCCGCGUGAUCGAUGACGCCUUUCGGGGUGUAAAGAUCUUUUAUUAGGGACGAAUCCGUGACGGUACCUAAUGAAUAAGUCACUGCUAACUACGUGCCAGCAGCAGCGGUAAUACGUAGGUGGCGAGCGUUACCCGGAUUGACUGGGCGUAAAGCGUCCGCAGACGGUCUAAAAAGUCUUUAGUUAAAUCCUGAGGCUCAACCUCAGGACCGCUACAGAUACUGUUAGACUAGAGGCUGGGAGAGGCAAGCGGAAUUACUGGUGUAGUAGUAAAAUGCGUUAAUAUCAGUAAGAACACCAAAAGCGAAGGCAGCUUGCUAGAACAGUCCUGACGUUCAGGGACGAAAGCGUGGGGAGCGAAUGGGAUUAGAUACCCGUGUAGUC
rnacentral:rRNA from 1 species